rnacentral:misc_RNA from 1 species
AAGUCGUAACAAGGUUUCCGUAGGUGAACCUGCGGAAGGAUCAUUAAAGAUUUUGUUUUUUGGGUUUUUCCUGAAAAAUAAUUCACCCUUUGUGCAUUGUUAUUAGAUAUACUUUGGUUAGAGCUUUGAUUUCAUUUUUUGAAGUCAACUUCUUGCUGACUCUAUCCUUUCUGAGGACAGUUGGCUAUGAAGCGGCCUACCAAAGCUUUUUAUCAAACACAUUUAAUUUAUCUGACCUAAACUACUAUAAUUAAAUCAUAACUUUCAACAACGGAUCUCUUGGCUCUC